UACGUAGGGUGCGAGCGUUAUUCGGAAUUACUGGGCGUAAAGCGUGCGCAGGCGGCUUCGCAAGUCAGGCGUGAAAUCCCCGGGCUUAACCUGGGAAUUGCGCUUGAAACUACGGUGCUGGAGUGCGGCAGAGGAAGGUGGAAUUCCACGUGUAGCGGUGAAAUGCGUAGAGAUGUGGAGGAACACCAAUGGCGAAGGCAGCCUUCUGGGUCGACACUGACGCUCAUGCACGAAAGCGUGGGGAGCAAACAGG
rnacentral:rRNA from 1 species